CCAAUAGCGUAUAUUAAAGUUGUUGCAGUUAAAAAGCUCGUAGUUGAAUUUCGGGGUUCUACCGUUGGUCGGGCAAUUGUCUGUACUGGCGUGUGGAAUUUCUACCUUCUGGGGAACCAUCAUGUUAUUAAUUUAGCGUGGUGGGAAACCAGGACCUUUACCUUGAAAAAAUUAGAGUGUUCAAAGCAGGCUUACGUCUGAAUACAUUAGCAUGGAAUAAUAAAAUAGGACGGUGGUCCUGUUUUGUUGGUUUCUGAACCACCGUAAUGAUUAAUAGGGAUAGUUGGGGGCAUUAGUAUUCAAUUGUCAGAGGUGAAAUUCUUGGAUUUAUUGAAGACUAACUUCUGCGAAAGCAUUUGCCAAGGAUGUUUUCAUUAAUCAAGAACGAAAGUUAGGGGAUCGAAGACGAUCAGAUACCGUCGUAGUCUUAACCAUAAACUAUGCCGACUAGGGAUCGGACGAUGUUAAUUUUUCUUGACUCGUUCGGCGCCUUACG
rnacentral:rRNA from 1 species